ACCAUAAAGCUAGCCUAACCAACUGUAUAAACAAAACCUUAUCAAUUAUACCUACACCACUUAUUACCAAAUUAAAACAUUUUAUACCAUUUAGUAUGGGUGACAGAACAAUAA
rnacentral:rRNA from 1 species